AUUCUGUGAACAAUCCAAAUCAGCCUUAUACAUUUUAAACUAACUUAAUCUUAAAGCAGUGUGCCUCCUACAAUUCACAAGACAAUGAACACAUUUUUGGUGGCAUUCAUUAUUAGGCCCACACUUCAAGGGCCACGAAACCCAUACGAGGUCGGAUAACUUAACAAAUACUAGAUUUUCCUUACAAUACAUAUUCUACCUAUCGAUUACAAUGUUUGACCGUCGACAACAUCAAUAAUAGAUCUUUAGAUUUCAAAAUGCGUUAUAAUUUAAUUUAAACAAAUAACAAUAAUAUGAAAUAACAAAAUUUAAUUUCAAAUCCAAUUUCUUGUUAUCUUGUUUUUAAAUAAUACAGAUUAUGUGAAUUAUACUCAACAUACAAAACAAAAUUUAAUUUAAAAUUUAAUUUCUUAUAAUUUAGUUUUUAAACGAUGCAGUUUAUAAAAAUAAAAAAAAAAUAUAAAAAAAAAUAUAUUGCAUUCUCGACAUUUGGGGAAAAAAUUAUUACGAUAUAAAUAUAUAUUUGUUCCAAAAAUAAAUAUCGAUAAUAAUAUUAUCAACAACCCUAGACUUUAGCAAGGCUUUCGAUGUGGUUAGGCAUUCACAGCUUCUACUUAAACGUUUUUAUUUGGGAUUUUUCUGUCUGCUCGUUACGAGGUUCGUGCGGCUUCUACAGAAGAUUGUGUGUUUGUCCAACUAAAUUUAUAUGACGUUUUAUUCUCGUGCUACUAAUGCAUUGGGUGUGUGCCUUGGCAGGUCUCGGUACCUUCUCGCGCUGGUUCCACUGCCUGCUGAUAUUGCUCGUUCUGGCCUUUCGACGCGUUCCUGCGCUCUCCAACGAGGUCCGCGCGGCGAUCGAUGGUGUCUGCUGGUUUCACUGACGAUGUCCUGCGGAUUUAUAUAACUCCUCACAUUCCGUGCUUUCUUCGGGUGACGAAAAGAAGCUCAUUCUCUCUCUCUCUGGCUGUUAUCCUUUCUAUCCUCAGACGGAAUUAGGAAUUCUCGUUCUUAUCUCUGGCCAACAGUUCGCCGAUGAGCUUUAAAACGCCGAUCAACAUGGUCACAGUGAGCGCUCUGACGUCGACUUUGCUGCCCAGGAUCGCUUUCAUUGUGGUCUUUAGCUCUGUGGUUUUGGUGUCGGGGAUCUUAUUUAGGAGGAUUUAGAGUUCCUCCUGAUCUGAGCAGACCAGUGGGACCGUCCGGGACAGAGCACCCUACUCUAAGAACAGUAACGCUUUCCUAAAUCCGCACGGCUGACCCCCUCGCGGGUCCGAGUCGUUGCUAAGCAGUCGCCGAGUCAACGUGUCAGGGACGAGCAGCGAGCACGUGGCGCCAAGGCCACCCGAGUUACCAAGCCGUCUGUAAAUUUACCCGCAAUUAACCCUCUCGAACCCGUGAACACCUUAUAAAUUUGGUGGGACGAACACACAAUCUACUAAGCUAGCCACACGAAUCUCGUAGCGAGGUAUUUGACUAUGAGGGUAUUUUUUUGAUGUAUAUUAUAUUUCUUUAUGAUAUAUAUAUAUAUAUUUCUUUAAAACAUCACAAAAUAAUUAAAAAGG